rnacentral:lncRNA from 1 species
GGGUAUCGGGGAAACUGGGGAAGAUGGGAGAGCUGGAGGAGAGUCGUGGGGUCCGAGGAGCACCUCGGCAUCUGGAGUCUGGCAGGAAUGUUGAAGGACUGAGGGGCUAGCUCAGGCAGAGCAAAGGCAUCGCAAAGGCUGGAAAACAUCGGAGUGAAGCUGAAGGGCCUGAGCUAGGGUUGGAGAGGAAUGGGGAGCCAGACAUUCAUCCCGGUUACUUUUGGUUACAGGACGUGGCGGCUGGUCGGAUAAAGGGGAGCUGCUGGGAAGGGUUCGACCCCAGACCUGGGCAGUGAAGUAAAGACUGAGGCCGCUGCCUCCAGGGAGGUGAUAGGAGUCCUUGGAGACAGUGGCAGAGACCAUGGGAUCCAGCAAGAACAGAAGCAUUCUAGGCUGGGGUCAAACAGGGCAAGAUGGGGUCACAAGACACAGAUGGGUCCCCAGCCGCCACAACAUCCCACCCACCGUAAUUCACUUAGAAGAAGGUUCAAGAGUGGCUCUGGCAAAGUCCCAAGUUUGCCAGAGCCUCAAUAACUGGAGAAUGGAAAAGAAGGGCAGUGCAGGGUGUCACCAGAAGGGGAGUGGGGGCUGCAGGUAUCGGACUCCAGAGGGAUUUUACAGCAAGGAGGCUGCAGUGGGUCCAGCCUGCAGACACACCAUUCCCAUGAGGCACUGCGGCCCAGGGACUGGUGCGGAAAGGGCCCACAGUGGACUUGGUACACUGUAUGCCCUAACCGCUCAGUCCCUGGGUCUGGCAUGACAGACAGAACAUUUCCAGGGGAGUCAAGGGCACAGGAUGAAGCCAGACGAGGCGAGGCAGGCGGGGCAGAAUGAAUGAGUUUCUAGGGAGGGAGGUUGGGUGCAGGUAGAGCGAGUAGCUGGGGUGGUGAGCCAGGGAGGCACUGGCCUCCAGAGUCCGUGGCCAAGGAGGGCCUUGCGGGCGGCGACGGAGCAGUGAUCGGUGUCUCGAAGAGCUCGGACUGGAGACUAGGCCAGGUCUCCAGCAGAGGUGGAUGUGCCUGCCAGUCACUGAAGGCGAGGAUGACAGGUGUGGUCAAUGUGACAGAAAGACAUGACAUGGUCCGGUGUGAUGGAGAGGACAGAAGGGCAGUCAUCCAGCCUUCUUGAACACCAUGGGCUGGCGCCUUGUCGUAGAAGCCGUCUGUUCUUUCACUUUUCCCAAAGAGCUAACACUUCUCUGCUGCUCUCUGGAUCCUCCUCCCCCUACCUUGAACCCUCAAGAUGAAAGAAAUGGUGCUACCCAGCUCAUGUCUGGGCCUUUGAAUCCGGGGACUUCUUUAAGUCCGUCUCGUUCUGAAUCAAGAAGAUGCUGCAAUCAGAACCACUACACUACCUGCCUCAGGAAUCUGCUCCAAGGUGAAGCUGAAAGAACAGAUGGUGUCAACAUUUUGAAAGAGCAGACUCAUAGCACCCACCCACCCCUGAGAAUCCAUCUUCAUGGCCAACUCUGCCUGACCCGGGAGACCACCACCCACAUCAUCCUGGAGCCAAGCCUCUACCCCGGGAUGACUUCAUCAUCUCCCUCCUGUCUUUUUCUUCUUCCUCCUUUCCUGUAAUUCUGUUUCUUUCCUUUUGUUCCUUCCUUGCUUGAGAGACUCAAAGCACCCGUGACUCUGUUUCCCCAUUUACCCCCUUUUGAAUUUGCACUAAGUCGAUUGCACUGGUUUGGAGUCCCGGAGAUAGCUUUGAGUCUCUCCGUAUGAAUGUAUACAGCGAGUGUGUAAACCUCUUUGGCAAUGCUGCCCCAGUACCCACCUGUCGUCCAUCUCCGUCUGAGGGCAACUGGGUGUGGCCGUGUGCUUGAGGCCUCGCCUUCCCCUCGCCUAGUCUGGAAGCAGUUCCAUCAUAAAGUGUUCAACAUGCCCUACUUCAUCCUUUGCCCCUCCUCACCAGGGCCUCACCAGAGGUCCUGGGUCCAUCAAUAAAUACAGUUACAG